rnacentral:ncRNA from 11 species
CAGUUAUUAAGAAAGGCAGAGGGAUUAGACCCGUUGAAGCCUUAGCAACCCUUUAUUCAUAAAGAAGGUGCUACAUUCUACCAAAAUAUUUU